rnacentral:rRNA from 1 species
GAUGAACGCUGGCGGCGUGCCUAAUACAUGCAAGUCGAGCGAACGGACGAGAAGCUUGCUUCUCUGAUGUUAGCGGCGGACGGGUGAGUAACACGUGGAUAACCUACCUAUAAGACUGGGAUAACUUCGGGAAACCGGAGCUAAUACCGGAUAAUAUUUUGAACCGCAUGGUUCAAAAGUGAAAGACGGUCUUGCUGUCACUUAUAGAUGGAUCCGCGCUGCAUUAGCUAGUUGGUAAGGUAACGGCUUACCAAGGCAACGAUGCAUAGCCGACCUGAGAGGGUGAUCGGCCACACUGGAACUGAGACACGGUCCGGACUCCUACGAGAGGCAGCAGUAGGGAAUCUUCCGGCAUGGGCGAAAGCCUGACGGAGCAACGCCGCGUGAGUGAUGAAGGUCUUCGGAUCGUAAAACUCUGUUAUUAGGGAAGAACAUAUGUGUAAGUAACUGUGCACAUCUUGACGGUACCUAAUCAGAAAGCCACGGCUAACUACGUG